AGCGAACGCUGGCGGCAGGCCUAACACAUGCAAGUCGAACGAACUCUUCGGAGUUAGUGGCGGACGGGUGAGUAACACGUGGGAACGUGCCUUUUGGUUCGGAAUAACUCAGGGAAACUUGUGCUAAUACCGAAUGAGCCCUUCGGGGGAAAGAUUUAUCGCCAUUAGAGCGGCCCGCGUCUGAUUAGCUAGUUGGUGAGGUAACGGCUCACCAAGGCGACGAUCAGUAGCUGGUCUGAGAGGAUGACCAGCCACACUGGGACUGAGACACGGCCCAGACUCCUACGGGAGGCAGCAGUGGGGAAUCUUGCGCAAUGGGCGAAAGCCUGACGCAGCCAUGCCGCGUGAAUGAUGAAGGUCUUUGGAUUGUAAAAUUCUUUCACCGGGGACGAUAAUGACGGUACCCGGAGAAGAAGCCCCGGCUAACUUCGUG
rnacentral:rRNA from 1 species